GGGGCCGUAGCUCAAUUGGUUAGAGCGCUACCCUGUCACGGUAGAGGUCGCGGGUUCGAGUCCCGUCGGUCCCGCCA
rnacentral:tRNA from 2 species